AACGCUAGCUACAGGCUUAACACAUGCAAGUCGAGGGGCAGCAUGAUUGAAGCUUGCUUCAAUUGAUGGCGACCGGCGCACGGGUGAGUAACACGUAUCCAACCUUCCGUACACUCAGGGAUAGCCUUUCGAAAGAAAGAUUAAUACCUGAUGGUAUCUUAAGCACACAUGUAAUUAAGAUUAAAGAUUUAUCGGUGUACGAUGGGGAUGCGUUCCAUUAGAUAGUAGGCGGGGUAACGGCCCACCUAGUCGACGAUGGAUAGGGGUUCUGAGAGGAAGGUCCCCCACAUUGGAACUGAGACACGGUCCAAACUCCUACGGGAGGCAGCAGUGAGGAAUAUUGGUCAAUGGGCGCGAGCCUGAACCAGCCAAGUAGCGUGAAGGAUGAAGGUCCUACGGAUUGUAAACUUCUUUUAUAAGGGAAUAAAGUCACCCACGUGUGGGUGUUUGUAUGUACCUUAUGAAUAAGCAUCGGCUAACUCCGUGCCAGCAGCCGCGGUAAUACGGAGGAUGCGAGCGUUAUCCGGAUUUAUUGGGUUUAAAGGGAGCGUAGACGGGUCGUUAAGUCAGCUGUGAAAGUUUGAGGCUCAACCUUAAAAUUGCAGUUGAUACUGGCGUCCUUGAGUACGGUUGAGGCAGGCGGAAUUCGUGGUGUAGCGGUGAAAUGCUUAGAUAUCACGAAGAACUCCGAUUG
rnacentral:rRNA from 1 species